UAGAACUUGAUGUGCAAGUCGAACCUGUAUAAAAAUUACAGAACAUAAGGUGCCAAUUAAUAAUCAAAGAUCCAUAACCUCCAAUGUAAUAAUAAAGAUGCAAUUCCCUCCUUUACAGUAGCAGUUGCAUGAAAUGGAUGAUGAAAUUUUCAGAACAGGAAUAUGACAGCCCAAAUACCAAUGGAGUCAUCAGUAGUUUUCAGUCGUAUAUAAUAUCCCGUGCAUGGUUCUACUUCUAUUGCCUAAUUGUCACAUUUUACUACGAUAUUUCUUGCCAUUAAUACACUUUCCUACACAUUUUUUGCCCAUCACCAAAACCUCUGGCAACUUUUUCUGGCUAUCACUGCCCUUUUCUUCAACUUCUUAUUUACUUUUUCAACUACUGCACUUAUCUACAUGCCUACAACCUUCUCCACACUUAUCAGCAUCCCCAUCUCAUGGUGAAGCAGUCAACUCUAGAGCAAUCCUAUAUAAAGUAACUGGCCUGGGGAAGUAAACAGUAGGUUUGCAAGCGAAAGGGAGGUUUAGCGUAGUAGGACCCAUUUUGCAUGUACUUUUACGUACCCAACUGUAUUUAAUGAAGAAAUAUUUAUCUUGUCUUUAAUUUUAAUAAAACUACAUUUUUACAAUUUAACAAAUCAGGCAUAUUUGUGUUGAAGGAAUAAGCUUCAAAAACUAAAACAAGACUGGGUCUCAAACUCAAAGCAAGCCUGUCCAGAGGACUAACCACUUCCUGGUUCAUUGUACCAUGAGAUACAACCUCCUGAAGCCAGUAGUAGUAGGUGAUGCUAUUUUGUUUGCAAUGAAACUCAGAAGGCAGGUUCAAUAUUAAAAUAAAAAAAUAAUAAAAUUGCUGUGUUGGUUUAAAAAUGGUGUGAAAGUGAGAGAAGUACCGUAGAAUAGAAGAAGAGAGAAGGAGGAGAGAGAAGAGAAGAAUAAAAGUAAAAAAGAAGGAAAAAAAAGAGGAAAACGAUAUGUCGAUAUGUGUAGGGUGCUGUCCACUGUGUUGAGAAUGGAAGAAGAGGAGAAGGAAGAGAGGAAAGAAGAAGAAGUAGAG
rnacentral:misc_RNA from 1 species